rnacentral:lncRNA from 1 species
GGGAAGUGUGGUGCCUGAAGCACUGAAAAGCAUGCGGGAGAAGGUGAUAACAAGGCUCAGGGGAAAACCGAGGCAAGAAGAGAAGUCCUGUUGCAUAGAAAGAGAGAGCUCAGAAACUGGAAUUAGAUGCCCUGGGUUCACAUCUUGGCUCUGCGUCUUAAAAGGAAGCUAUUGGAGAAUACACACCUUCGAAAUGCGGAGAAAUAUAAGAAAAGGAAGACAAGAGUUCAAGAAGCCAGGCAUCCAACAAUAAUAACUAAAGAGGCAAGGUAAUUCUCAGGAUGAUGUAACAGAAAGUCCAGACUGGUGAAUGACAAUGAAGAACUACAAGAGGUUUGUACUCUGAAAAGAAGAAGGAAAAAAGUGGAACUCACAGUUUGUCUAAAGUUUUUGACCAUGUUUCAAGGAAGUAUAUGGUUCUGUGCAAAGUUAGCAAAAGGUACAUUAAAAAAAUGAGAAAACAACAAAAUCAGGCAAUUACCAACUAAAAGUAUAAAGAAUUUGGUACAAAAAAGGAAAUUAAUAAUACACUACAUGCUAACUUGUUAACAAUUUUUACAUAGUACCAAUACAAUAAAUACAAUGUUAAUUUCAAACUGCAAUUAAUUAUGCUGGAAGGAUGUGGGAGUGUUAAGAGAGUUAAAUUAAAAUCUUCAUAACAGGAAGUCAACAGAUAAUACCUACUGAAUAUUUCUACUUUUUGGAGGGAUGUUGGGUUGGGGAACUACUGUUUCAUUUCCUUAAAGUACUAUUUGGCUUUUUAAAUUGCCUGUACACAUGCAUAUGCAUACAUAGUCUAAAGUUAAAUUUUUAAAACCACAUAUAAAAGCCAUGUGGGAAAAGAAUUAUUGUGAAUGCUUAGUAAAAGAAUGUAUGCACAGCACAUAAUACAAUGUUGAUACAUCAUAGAGUAUUAAUAAAGUCCCCAAGAUUUGCCUGCUUGGGAUAGUCUUAUUAACAAAAGUUAAUCUUGUUAAUAAAACAGUCAACAAAUAUAUAAAUCUUUACUCAUCAGUCCCUAGUAAAAUUUUCCAACUGUUGUGGAAGAUAUAAAGAAAUAUGAAACAUAAUCCUUACAUUAAAAUACCUUCUAAUAAGUUAUGGCAGUUAAUAUUUAAUUGGUGUUAUAUGUACAGUAGGCACUGUCCCAAGUUCUUUACAUAUUAUCUCUUUUAAUUCUAUGAGAUAGACAUUAUUAUCUCCAUUUUAUUAUAUAAAUGAGGAAACUGAGGCACACUAAAAUGAAGUAACUUGUCCAGGUCAUGGAGCUCAUAAGAGAGGGAGGUAGGAUUCCAGUCCAAGCAGAAGGCGAGGGAGUCUCAGAUUGCUUUAUAAUCUAAUUGAGGGGAAGAAGAAACAGAGCUAAACAACCUUAUAUGAUUUAAGGAGGAGUUCAACAUAAUACUGGAAGAGAUGUCACAAACUAAUGCAAGCAUACUUUAGGGGAAAUUGCUGUAUUACACUAGGAGAUCAGAAGAGAGUGCAAACCCUUCAGACUGAUAGCCAAGGAAGCAUUUAAUUGGACCAGCUGGCUGGGGAGGGCAUUCCUUGUAAGUGAAUCAACACGCAGAGGUGGUAACCAUAGCAUGCCAGGGAUCAGCGAGGAAGGUAAUUUGACUAGAGCAUAGCACAUUUUGUUCAUCCACAAAUAAAACCUGUGAGAUCAAAGCAGGAAAGGCCUAAUAACAAAUUAUAAAUGGCCUUGAAAGCAGACUAAGAAGCUUGGACUUUAUUUUGUGAAAACGGGAAGUGAUUGCUGAGCAUGUGCACUUAAUCUGGACAUUGUACAUGUAAUCAGCUGACAGGAAGAGAACAAGUAACGGCUUAUUGUGGCAGUCUGGAUAAGAUUUAUCAAAAUCUCAAACUAGCCUGGGGUAAGUGAGAGUGGAAUUGGCUGGAUCCUGGAUGAGAAGUCCCACAAGGACUUACAGAAACAAUUUGCAUUUUAUCUUUCUACCAAGGAGAAAAGUUUUUCAAACUACAAAGGCUAGAUAUAAUUAAAAGGGAAUUAAAUUUCAAAAAGUUCAAGUAAGAGUAUCUGCUUUGAAAAAAUGAGUUUCUAGGUUUCAAUAAGUUACAACAUAGCAUAAUCAAAUACUUAACUAUUAUGAUUAUGAAUUGGCUGGCAGGAUUUCUUUUAAAAUGAAAGUAAAGCUUUCUAGAUGUAACAAUAAAGCAUGCUCAAUAUGGAAAAAAUAUACAAAGAAAAAAAUCAGCAAACUUAUUCACAUACCCUUAGUUUGGUUAUUUUUUUUCAGUCUUUUCUAUGAAUAACUUUGUUUCCAUGUUAAUACAAAGUUACAAUUGAUUAUCAUAUUAUAUAUAGAAGAUAUAAUUUUCUUCUUGCUUAAACAUUUUAAUAAAACAUUUUUCAGUCUUUUCUUUGAAUAACUUUGUUUCCAUGUUAAUACACAGUUACAAUUGAAUUUUCUUCUUGCUUAAACUUUUUUUUUUUUUUUUUUUGAGAUGGGGUCUCACUCUAUCGCCCAGGCUGGAGUGCAGUGGCCCGAUCUUGGCUCACUGAAAACUCCGCCUCGCAGGUUCAUGCUAUUCUCCUGCCUCAGCCUC